AUCCCGACACGGGGAGGUAGUGACAAUAAAUACUGAUACAGGGCUCUUUUGGGUCUUGUAAUUGGAAUGAGUACAAUUUAAACCUCUUAACGAGGAACAAUGGAGGGCAAGUCUGGUGGACAUUCGGAUCCCAUUCUGCUGACGCCAGCAAAAGUCGGACACCGGGCUAGUCGAGCACCUACUGAUCUGAUGGGGAGGUGCCGGCAAGACAACGUGGAUCGGGGAAGGCUAAGGCACUUGUGCUAUGCUAAUCCCGAGCAGAGCCAUCGCGGAGCGAUCCACGAUAAUGGCCUGUGUAGAGCGCGGAAAGGUGUCGGUCGACUCUCUGAGUCGGCUUAAGGGACGUGCCAUUCCCACCUGAAAGGGUGGCUGCUAGUUUAAGCGCCCAUCUCGCGAAGGCUAGCAGGUUUGAACGUUGUCUAUGGCGUUCAAAAGUACGCAAACAAGGCCAGCAGCCGCGGUAAUUCCAGCUCCAAUAGCGUAUAUUAAAGUUGUUGCAGUUAAAAAGCUCGUAGUUGAACCUUGGGCCUGGCUGGCAGGUCCGCCUCACCGCGAGUACUUGUCCGGCCGGGCCUUUUUUCUGGAGAACCUCAUGCCCUUCACUGGGUGUGCUGGGGAACCAGGACUUUUACUUUGAAAAAAUUAGAGUGUUCAAAGCAGGCCUUUGCUCGAAUACGUUAGCAUGGAAUAAUAGAAUAGGACGUGCGGUCCUAUUUUGUUGGUUUCUAGGACCGCCGUAAUGAUUAAUAGGGACAGUCGGGGGCAUCAGUAUUCAAUUGUCAGAGGUGAAAUUCUUGGAUUUAUUGAAGACUAACUACUGCGAAAGCAUUUGCCAAGGAUGUUUUCAUUAAUCAGUGAACGAAAGUUAGGGGAUCGAAGACGAUCAGAUACCGUCGUAGUCUUAACCGUAAACUAUGCCGACUAGGGAUCGGGCGAUGUUUUCAUCUUGACUCGCUCGGCACCUUAAGAGAAAUCAAAGUUUUUGGGUCUGGGGGAGUA
rnacentral:rRNA from 1 species